UACGAGGGGGGCGAGCGUUGUUCGGAAUUAUUGGGCGUAAAGGGUGCGUAGGCGGUUCCGCAAGUCCUGUGUGAAAUCUUCGGGCUCAACUCGAAGUCUGCACGGGAAACUGCGGGGCUUGAGUGUGGGAGAGGUGAGUGGAAUUCCCGGUGUAGCGGUGAAAUGCGCAGAUAUCAGGAGGAACACCGGUGGCGAAGGCGGGUCUCUGGGCCGAUAUUGACGCUGAGGAGCGAAAGCGUGGGGAGCAAACAGG
rnacentral:rRNA from 1 species